GACGAACGCUGGCGGCGUGCUUAACACAUGCAAGUCGAGCGGAAAGGCCUUUCGGGGUACUCGAGCGGCGAACGGGUGAGUAACACGUGAGUAACCUGCCCCUGGCUCUGGGAUAACUGUCGGAAACGAUGGCUAAUACCGGAUAUUCACUUCCUGUCGCAUGGUGGGUGGUGGAAAGUUUUUCGGCUGGGGAUGGGCUCGCGGCCUAUCAGCUUGUUGGUGGGGUGAUGGCCUACCAAGGCUUCGGCGGGUAGCCGGCCUGAGAGGGCGACCGGCCACACUGGGACUGAGACACGGCCCAGACUCCUACGGGAGGCAGCAGCGGGGAAUAUUGCACAAUGGGCGGAAGCCUGAUGCAGCGACGCCGCGUGAGGGAUGACGGCCUUCGGGUUGUAAACCUCUUUCAGCAGGGACGAAGCGUGAGUGACGGUACCUGCAGAAGAAGCGCCGGCCAACUACGUGCCAGCAGCCGCAGUAACAC
rnacentral:rRNA from 1 species